GACGAACGCUGGCGGCGCGCUUAACACAUGCAAGUCGAGCGAGAAACCAGGCUUCGGCCUUGGGGACAGCGGCGAACGGGUGAGUAACACGUGGGUAAUCCACCCUCGGCACCGGAAUAGCCCGGGGAAACCCGGAUUAAUGCCGGAUGGCCCGUCGACCCUUCGGGGCUGACGGAAAAGGUAGCCUCGGCCCCCGGCCGGGGACGAGCCCGCGACGGAUUAGCGCGUUGGUGGGGUAACGGCCUACCAAGGCUCCGAUCCGUAGCUGGUCUGAGAGGACGAUCAGCCACACUGGGACUGAGACACGGCCCAGACUCCUACGGGAGGCAGCAGUGGGGAAUCUUGCGCAAUGGGCGAAAGCCUGACGCAGCGACGCCGCGUGAGGGAAGAAGGCCUUCGGGUUGUAAACCUCUUUCAGGGGGGACGAAGCCACUCGGGUUAAUAGCCCAGAGGGUGACGGUACCUCCAGAAGAAGCCCCGGCUAACUACGUGCCAGCCGCCGCGGUAAAAC
rnacentral:rRNA from 1 species